UACGGAGGGUGCGAGCGUUGUCCGGAAUCAUUGGGCGUAAAGGGCGCGUAGGUGGCCCCUCAAGCGUGCGGUGAAAGUCAGGGGCUCAACCCCUGAUCGGCCGUGCGAACUGGGGAGCUUGAGCACUGUAGAGGCAGGCGGAAUUCCGGGUGUAGCGGUGGAAUGCGUAGAAAUCCGGAAGAACACCAGUGGCGAAGGCGGCCCGCUGGGCAGUGGCUGACGCUGAAGCGCGACAGCGUGGGGAGCAAACAGG
rnacentral:rRNA from 1 species